rnacentral:rRNA from 1 species
UCUGGUGGCAAUGUCGGAGGGGGUACACCCGUUCCCAUACCGAACACGGCAGUUAAGCCCUCCUGAGCCGAUGGUACUUGGGGUCCGCCCCUGGGAGAGUAGGUCGCUGCCAGAG